rnacentral:rRNA from 1 species
CCUACGGGCGGCAGCAGUGAGGAAUAUUGGUCAAUGGACGAGAGUCUGAACCAGCCAAGUAGCGUGAAGGAUGACUGCCCUAUGGGUUGUAAACUUCUUUUAUAUGGGAAUAAAACGUUCCACGUGUGGGAUUUUGUAUGUACCAUAUGCAUAAGGAUCGGCAAACUCCGUGCCAGCAGCCGCGGUAAUACGGAGGAUCCGAGCGUUAUCCGGAUUUAUUGGGUUUAAGGGGAGCGUAGGUGGAUUGUUAAGUCAGUUGUGAAAGUUUGCGGCGCAACCGUAAAAUUGCAGUUGAAACUGGCAGUCUUGAGGACAGUAGAGGUGGGCGGAAUUCGUGGUGUAGCGGUGAAAUGCUUAGAUAUCACGAAGAACUCCGAUUGCGAAGGCAGUUCACUGGACUGCAACUGACACUGAGGCUCGAAAGUGUGGGUAUCAAACAGGAUUAGAUACCCUUGUAGUC